rnacentral:rRNA from 1 species
CAGUAGCCACGGUAAUACCAGCAGCCCAAGUGGUGGUCGCGAUUAUUGGGCCUAAAGCGCUCGUAGCCGGGCCGGUAAGUCCCUUGUGAAAUCGGACGGCCUAACCGUUCGGCGUGCAAGGGAUACUGUCGGUCUUGAGGCCGGGAGACGUCCGAGGUACUCCGGGGGUAGCGGUGAAAUGUUCUGAUCCUCGGGGGACUACCGGUGGCGAAGGCGUUCGACGAGAACGGGCCUGACGGUGAGGGGCGAAGGCUAGGGGAGCAAACGGGAUUAGAGACCCCCGUAGUCCCUGUCUCUUAUU